ACACAUAGUCAUAAUCGCAAUCACAAAGUGGUAAUUAAUGACUAAAAACAUGAAUGAACUAAAUAAAAUAAUAAAAACCUAAUUAUGAAGUUGUAGCAGCCCCUUGAUCUCCAAAAUAUGCUCAAAGAUAUGUAAAAACAUGAUAUAACAUGUAUUUAUAGUAUACGAGUAAGCUAAGUCCGUGUUAGAGUUGGAAACGUUCAGUUAUUUAGCCCAAGAAUGGAGAGGGCGCCACCCUGGCUAUAACCCUGCUCCAGGAAAGGCUGAGCCCUCGGUUGAGAACCGUUCCAGGAAAGGCUGAGCCCUAGCUAUAGCCCCGCUCCAGAUGGGGCGAAGCUUCCAAAUCGCCUUGAGCCUCUGGUAGUUGCUCUCCAAAUUUUGGUUAAGUGUUUAGUCUCCCCUAUUAGUUCCAUGUCUUAUGGUGUCUUUCCCAUGGAUUCCAACCCUUUUCAACAUCAAAAUAUCAUCAUAUUGAGCUCCUAAAGCUUCAUACACAAUCACACCACACAAAUUAAGAGACAAUCACAAUAGAAUACUCAUAACGAUAAAUCAAAACAAGAGGUAAGCUAGGCUAAUUCGCAUUGAUCUUUCACUUAUUGUUCCAGCUGUACACUCACUCAAAUUGAACUUUUCUCACUACCAACAAGUUAUUACACUCAUAAUUACACAUUAAAACCAUAAGGAACUCAUUAAACACAAUAGAAUCCAACAAAAUCAACUAGACAAGCACCUAGCUCAAGCUAGUAACACUAGUUUUCCGGGUUGAACUCUAAAUGAAUCUUUGAAGUACAAACUUGUUUGGAAUUCAUUUUGAACAUCAUAAACACAUCAUUUAACACUUUGAUACAUAUUUAUCUCAUUACCAACCCAUAUAGCACAUGAAUCAUCCUCGAAAAAAGGCAAAAAAGUCUAGAAUAGUGACACUAGAAUGCAUAAAUACACCCAACAUCAAGGUCCCACACAUAUAUUUCCAAUUUUUCAACUUUCCGACAAUAGGUCGAAAUGAGUUUGGGUGCACCAGUACCCAAACCAAAGGUCUACCUAGCCUAAAAUAAAUAUUCCGGAGCUACUGGCAUAGUCUAUUCGGCCAUUGGUCGCACGGAUCAAAAGAUAUCCACAAAAGUCCAAAAUAAGGCUCUCGAAGCCAUCAAAAACCACAAUAUCAUAUUAAUGAUACCAAAAUGCAUAGAAAAUCAUGACAAUCAC
rnacentral:lncRNA from 1 species